AGCGGCGGACGGGUGAGUAACACGGUGGGUAACCUACCUAUAAGACUGGGAUAACUCCGGGAAACCGGGGCUAAUACCGGAUAACACAUGAAACCGCAUGGUUUCAUGAUGAAAGACGGUUUUGCUGUCACUUAUAGAUGGACCCGCGGCGUAUUAGCUAGUUGGUAAGGUAACGGCUUACCAAGGCAACGAUACGUAGCCGACCUGAGAGGGUGAUCGGCCACACUGGAACUGAGACACGGUCCAGACUCCUACGGGAGGCAGCAGUG
rnacentral:rRNA from 1 species